UGAGGAAUAUUGGUCAAUGGGCGAGAGCCUGAACCAGCCAAGUAGCGUGCAGGAUGACGGCCCUAUGGGUUGUAAACUGCUUUUAUAUGGGAAUAAAGUGAGGGACGUGUCCCUUAUUGCAUGUACCAUACGAAUAAGGACCGGCUAAUUCCGUGCCAGCAGCCGCGGUAAUACGGAAGGUCCAGGCGUUAUCCGGAUUUAUUGGGUUUAAAGGGAGCGUAGGCUGUUUGUUAAGCGUGUUGUGAAAUGUAGGAGCUCAACUUUUAGAUUGCAGCGCGAACUGGCAGACUUGAGUGCGCACAACGUAGGCGGAAUUCAUGGUGUAGCGGUGAAAUGCUUAGAUAUCAUGACGAACUCCGAUUGCGAAGGCAGCUUACGGGAGCGCAACUGACGCUAAAGCUCGAAAGUGCGGGUAUCGAACAGG
rnacentral:rRNA from 1 species